ensembl:snoRNA
UUGGCCCUGAAUCAAGACCAACAGAUUGUUGGAACUAUUGGUUUCAAACAGGAGCCUAAAAAAAUGUCAUCCUAUGGUUUUCUUGCCAUUUCAGAAUGAUAAUAGAGAAUGGUCAGUUCAUUAGGAAGAAACACUC